ACGGCUGAGUAACGCGUGGGAAUUUGCCCCAAAGUGAGGAAUAACUGCCCGAAAGGGUGGCUAAUGCCGCAUAUGAUCUUCGGAUUAAAGGAUUUAUCCGCUUUGGGAGAAGCCCGCGUCGGAUUAGGUAGUUGGUGAGGUAAUAGCUCACCAAGCCGACAAUCCGUAGCUGGUCUGAGAGGAUGACCAGCCAGACUGGAACUGAGACACGGUCCAGACUCCUACGGGAGGCAGCAGUGAGGAAUCUUCCACAAUGGGCGAAAGCCUGAUGGAGCAACGCCGCGUGCAGGAUGAAGGCCUUCGGGUUGUAAACUGCUUUUAUAAGUGAGGAAUAUGACGGUAGCUUAUGAAUAAGGAUCGGCUAACCACGUGCCAGCAGCCGCGGUCAUACGUAGGAUCCGAGCGUUAUCCGGAGUGACUGGGCGUAAAGAGUUGCGUAGGCGGUUUGUUAAGUGAAUAGUGAAAUCUGGUGGCUCAACCAUACAGGCUAUUAUUCAAACUGGCAAACUCGAGAGUGGUAGAGGUCACUGGAAUUUCUUGUGUAGGAGUGAAAUCCGUAGAUAUAAGAAGGAACACCGAUGGCGCAGGCAGGUGACUGGACCAUUUCUGACGCUAAGGCACGAAAGCGUGGGGAGCGAACCGGAUUAGAUACCCG
rnacentral:rRNA from 1 species